UACGUUGGGGGCGAGCGUUGUUCGGAUUUACUGGGCGUAAAGGGCGCGCAGGCGGCGAUCUUUGUCAGGCGUGAAAGCCCCGGGCUCAACCUGGGAACGGCGCUUGGGACGGGAUGACUAGAGAUCGGGAGCGGAGAGUGGAAUUCCCAGUGUAGAGGUGAAAUUCGUAGAUAUUGGGAAGAACACCAGUGGCGAAGGCGGCUCACUGGCCCGAUACUGACGCUGAUGCACGAAAGCGUGGGGAGCAAACAGG
rnacentral:rRNA from 1 species